rnacentral:precursor_RNA from 9 species
UUGGUGGUGGCAUUUAGCCGGUGUGCGGUGUACCCGUAGCUCCGAAAUCGUGUCAGCAUUUGAAUACACGUUUCGUUGCUCGGGUGCCCUGCGCAUAUUUCCGGGGUCUGAGCUGCCU